UACGGAGGUGGCGAGCGUUGUCCGGAAUUAUUGGGCGUAAAGAGCUCGUAGGUGGCUUGUCACGUCGGGUGUGAAAGCUUGGGGCUUAACUCCAGGUCUGCAUUCGAUACGGGCUGGCUAGAGGUAGGUAGGGGGAGAACGGAAUUCCUGGUGUAGCGGUGAAAUGCGCAGAUAUCAGGAGGAACACCGGUGGCGAAGGCGGUUCUCUGGGGCCUUACCUGACGCUGAGGAGCGAAAAGCGUGGGGGAGCGAACAGG
rnacentral:rRNA from 1 species